AGAGUUUGAUCAUGGCUCAGAACGUACGCUGGCGGCACGCCUUAUACAUGCAAGUCGAACGAAGUAGCAAUACUUAGUGGCAGACGGGUGAGUAACAUGUAGGUAUCUUCCCUUUGGUGAGGAAUAACACGAGGAAACUUGUGCUAAUACCUCAUAAGUCUUUACAGAGAAAGCUUUAUGCGCCGAAGGAUGAGCCUGCACUUGAUUAGUUUGUUGGUGGGGUAAUGGCCUACCAAGACUUUGAUCAAUAGCUGAUCUGAGAGGAUGAUCAGCCACAUUGGGACUGAGACACGGCCCAAACUCCUACGGGAGGCAGCAGUAGGGAAUAUUGCACAAUGGAGGAAACUCUGAUGCAGCGAUGCCGCGUGAGUGAAGAAGGCCUUUGGGUUGUAAAGCUCUUUCGUCGGGGAAGAAAAUGACUGUACCCGAAUAAGAAGGUCCGGCUAACUUCGUGCCAGCAGCCGCGGUAAUACGAAGGGACCUAGCGUAGUUCGGAAUUACUGGGCUUAAAGAGUUCGUAGGUGGUCAAAAAAGUUGGUGGUGAAAUCCCAGAGCUUAACUCUGGAACUGCCAUCAAAACUUUUUGGCUAGAGUAUGAUAGAGGAAAGCAGAAUUUCUAGUGUAGAGGUGAAAUUCGUAGAUAUUAGAAAGAAUACCAAUUGCGAAGGCAGCUUUCUGGAUCAUUACUGACACUGAGGAACGAAAGCAUGGGUAGCGAAGAGGAUUAGAUACCCUCGUAGUCCAUGCCGUAACGAUGUGUGUUAGACGUUGGAAAUUUAUUUUCAGUGUCGCAGCGAAAGCAUUAAACACACCGCCUGGGGAGUACGACCGCAAGGUUAAAACUCAAAUGAAUUGACGGGGACCCGCACAAGUAGUGGAGCAUGUGGUUUAAUUCGAAGAUACGCGCAGAACCUUACCAACACUUGACAUGUUCGUCGCGACUUUAAGAGAUUAAAGUUUUCGGUUCGGCCGGACGAAACACAGGUGCUGCAUGGCUGUCGUCAGCUCGUGUCGUGAGAUGUUGGGUUAAGUCCCGCAACGAGCGCAACCCUCACUUUUAGUUGCCAUCAUUUAGUUGGGCACUCUGAAAGAACUGCCAGUGAUAAGCUGGAGGAAGGUGGGGAUGACGUCAAGUCCUCAUGGCCCUUACGUGUUGGGCUACACACGUGCUACAAUGGCAUUUACAAUAGGAAGCAAGAUGGCGACAUCAAGCAAAUCCUAAAAAGAUGCCUCAGUUCGGAUUGUACUCUGCAACUCGAGUACAUGAAGCUGGAAUUACUAGUAAUCGCGGAUCAGCGCGCCGCGGUGAAUACGUUCCCGGGUCUUGUAGA
rnacentral:rRNA from 1 species